UACGGGGGGAGCAAGCGUUGUUCGGAUUUACUGGGCGUAAAGGGCGCGUAGGCGGCCUCUGCAAGUCGACUGUGAAAUCUCCGGGCUUAACCCGGAAAGGUCAGCCGAUACUGCAGGGCUAGAGUGCAGAAGGGGCAACUGGAAUUCUCGGUGUAGCGGUGAAAUGCGUAGAUAUCGAGAGGAACACCUGCGGCGAAGGCGGGCUGCUGGGCUGACACUGACGCUGACAGCGCGAAAGCUAGGGAAGCGAACGGG
rnacentral:rRNA from 1 species